rnacentral:lncRNA from 1 species
CUCCCUGUGCUUCUUGAAGCGGUUUCCGUGGGUAGACUGGCUGCUCCCCUCCUCUGGAAAGAUUCCUUUUUAUCCAGGCUUGGAUCAGAUUCGCAGUUGAUCUAAAUUGCCAUUACGGUGCUGCUGCUGCUGCGGUAACUAUACAGAUUUAUUUCAUCCAGACUAGACUUCCUUUUAUUAAUAUGUGAAUUACCUGUACCAGUUCACAUCCACAAAAGAAAACACCCCUAACUGUUCUCUGG